UUAGGUUUACUGGUAGAGCUACGUUGUCCAUUGUGAGUCAGCUUGUGUGUGGUUAGCGUCCACAUGCAUGACCCCCAAUUAAAUUAACUGGCCUCAAGAAUAGCUGGUUGGGUGGACUGGCAUACUUUAGUUGUGUUAAUGUGUAAUUCAAAGACUGAACAUAACAUAUAAUAAUAUGCAUAGCUGUCAUGCAUGUGCAGAUUUAUUAGCUGGUUUCCUGUUAAUAUUAAUACCAUAGAUUUUGCUUCCUAUGAAAUCCAAUUGACAUCUGCUAAAACUGUGAAUCUUUCCCUGUAGACACUGGAUGGCCAUUCCCAGCAAUAAUAUAUUCAAGUGGGGCCCGAUUUCUGGUGAGGACAACAUCCAAACUCUCAUCAUGCCGACCUAAAAAGUAGAACAAGGAAUGAACUAUAAACUCAGGCAGCCUGCCGUUCUACAAUGCCUGAUCAAGACAAAAAGGUGAAAAAAACUGACAAGACAAGUGAGAAGAAAGCAAAAGACAGCGUUGAAAGAGAGACUUCAGACCUUAGAAGACUCUUGGAUCUUCUUAGUGCUCCAGCAAGCAAACAGCAG